AAGCGUGCGCAGGCGGUUUUGUAAGUCUGAUGUGAAAUCCCCGGGCUCAACCUGGGAAUUGCAUUGGAGACUGCAAGGCUAGAAUCUGGCAGAGGGGGGUAGAAUUCCACGUGUAGCAGUGAAAUGCGUAGAUAUGUGGAGGAACACCGAUGGCGAAGGCAGCCCCCUGGGUCAAGAUUGACGCUCAUGCACGAAAGCGUGGGGAGCAAACAGGAUUAGAUACCCCGGGU
rnacentral:rRNA from 1 species